rnacentral:rRNA from 1 species
UAUUCCCCACUGCUGCCUCCCGUAGGAGUUUGGACCGUGUCUCAGUUCCAAUGUGGGGGAUUUUCCUCUCAGAACCCCUACCCAUCGUCGGUUUGGUGGGCCGUUACCCCGCCAACUGCCUAAUGGGACGCAUGCCCACCCGCAAUCAAUAAAUUUUUACUUGCCAUACCAUGCGGUCCGGCAAGGCCAUCAGGUAUUAAUCUUCCUUUCGGAAGGCUAUCCCCGUUUUGCGGAGAGGUUGCAUACGCGUUACUCACCCAUUCGCCGGUCGCCGACACCGUAUUGCUACGGCUCGCUGCCCCUCGACUUGCAUGUGUUAGGCCUGCCGCCAGCGUUCAUCCUGAGCCAA